rnacentral:snRNA from 1 species
AUACUUACCUGGCAGGGAGGACACCGAUGAUCAGCAGGUGGUUUCCAGGGCGAGCUCAUCCUUUGCACUCCGGGUGUGCUGACCCCUGCGGAUCCCCAAAGCGGGAAACUCGACUGCAUAAUUAUGUAGGUAGUGGGGGACUGCGUUCGCGCUCUCCCCUG